CUGAGCUUCAAAAGGAUCCACGGAGCAGGUACCUGCAGGGACGUCUGUGUGCUUGUCUCCUGAGGCCAACCUGCCAUCGUCUACACCAUUGAAAGCUGCAGAACCGUUGAGGUGCUGAGCAGAAGGCUUAAAGAAGAUGGUGCUGGCUGGGAGAUGGCAGUGGAUGGAGGUGGCUGGAGAAUGGGCUGCAAAGGAGCAGCUGAGGCCUGGGGCUGCUGUGCCCGGAUGUUCUUAGACACCUCUUCUAACCAUCGGUCGGCCUCUGAGGGUGUACGUCUGUGACCCGCCUGGAAGAGACCUGCAGAGGCAGCACCAGAAGAUUGACUCCACUCAGUCCCUGGAAACAAGAUAAAGACAGACAAAAGAAUCAGUUAAGGGGCUUCUUUCCUCACCUUUUAACCUUGGUUAUUUGAAUGAUCCUAAUAUGUGGAACAGAUCCCCUUACUGCGACAUUUUGUGGUUUUGGGAGGAAAGUCUCUGUUAGCAACUGAGAAGAUUUUAUGGUAGAAUAAAGAGAAGCUAUCACACAUCAGAGACAACAGCCACAUUGAGGCACUUUCUAGAUAUGGCUCUAGUGCACUGAGAACCAAAGCAGCUGGCUGGUGUCAGAAACCCUUCCCUAUUGCAGUAGCUCAUCCACAAUACAGCAGAUUCAUCUUCUGCUCCAUCAGGACUAAGAGAAAAUAACCAGUGGCCUGGCCAUACUUUACUGGCAGCCCCUGCCUGGCUUCUAGAUACAUGCUGGCUUUCUGGUGAACUUCCUUUAUUACCAUUUUAAAAUGUUUUGGUUGGGUGGCGCCUGUGGCUCAAGGAGUAGGGCGCCGGUCCCAUAGGUCAGAGGUGGCAGGUUCAAACCUAGCCCAGGCCAAAAACUACAAAAAAAAAAAAAAAUGUUUUGGUUUAUAGUUAACAGAUAUCAUCACAGAAAAACUAAUACAGAAAGCAAGAAUAAAGUGCUUUUUGUAGCAUUUAUUUGUAGUCCUGCCAUUGUAAGAGGCAGGGUCAUCUUUUCCUAUAAGCAUGUCCACACAUCAUCAAAUCCAGUGAUGGAUUCUCUGAGAUGGGGCCCAGGAAUGUGUAUUUUAUAAAAGACUAUAAACCUAAUCUCUCUUCUUCUCUCUCACCAUUAUUUCUUAAUAGCAGCUUAUUUCCAGAAGAGAAUAUUCUUGUCCUAAAAGGAUUCCUCCCUAGUUCCCAUUCAGGUAACUGGCUGAUUUUAGAAUCAUGGUCACUUAUCUGAUCCCAGAAUCCUCACCACCAUCUGUGGCCACCUUACCCGAACAUGUGGCUGCAAUUUCCUUGUUACCAGCAUCAGGGGCAUGGGCCCAGGGGUUGGUCUCACGCACAGGCAUUGCUACGGGUGCUAGAGCAGUAUGGGCUGGCUUAGCAGCAAGCACAUGGAAGGCUGGGUCAGUGCCAUUAGCUACAAUGGGAGCAGACAACAUCAAUGGAGUUAAUUCAUGCAGGGUGUACAAGUGAUCCCUUGGAGCUGGGUCAGUCAGACCAAGAUACAAAACUGGUGGAAUGGAUAAGACAGAAGAGUUGAUGUUAGGGUAACCAUGCUGUCUUGCAAUGGAUACAUAUACCUUUAGGCCAGUGGUUCUCAACCUUCCUAAUGUUGCGGCCCUUUAAUACAGUUCCUGUGGGUUGCGACCCACAGGUUGAAAACUGCUGCUUUAGGCAAAGAGAGAAUUAGAGGUUGUAAUUUAAAUGAAGCCCCAAACAAUUUCAGUUAAGUUGAACAGAGCUGCACUUAGCCUUUGGCAUAAUGAAGUAGGUAAAGCAUUUCCCUCUUCUAUAGUUUUCCAAAAGGCCAAAUUAUGCCACUAAUGUCUUAAAUAUAAUGAUUACUUGUUUCCCUCUCAAAACUUAAAAUAUAUAUACGCACACACACAUUCACACAUAAAAUGAUUCCUUAUUUAUUAUGUGUCAGACACUAUGCUAACAGCACUUUACAUGCAUCAUCUCAUUUAGUUCUUUCAAAAUCUCUGUAAGGCUGGUAUUAUCCCUAUAUUACAGAUCAGAAAUCAAACUUGAUAUAUGUAUUCAUUGCUUAAUAAAUUUGUAAUUUGCUACAGAA